GGGGAAUCUUGCGCAAUGGGCGAAAGCCUGACGCAGCCAUGCCGCGUGAAUGAUGAAGGUCUUAGGAUUGUAAAAUUCUUUCACCGGGGACGAUAAUGACGGUACCCGGAGAAGAAGCCCCGGCUAACUUCGUGCCAGCAGCCGCGGUAAUACGAAGGGGGCUAGCGUUGCUCGGAAUUACUGGGCGUAAAGGGAGCGUAGGCGGACAUUUAAGUCAGGGGUGAAAUCCCGGGGCUCAACCUCGGAAUUGCCUUUGAUACUGGGUGUCUUGAGUAUGAGAGAGGUAUGUGGAACUCCGAGUGUAGAGGUGAAAUUCGUAGAUAUUCGGAAGAACACCAGUGGCGAAGGCGACAUACUGGCUCAUUACUGACGCUGAGGCUCGAAAGCGUGGGGAGCAAAC
rnacentral:rRNA from 1 species